UGAAGAAUAAGCUCGUGGCGAGACAGAGUGUUAGACUCCAGUGACGAGUUGAUCUUCAUGCGGAACAUCAUCCGAAUCCAGUCGGUGCUAUUACACUUGUAACUCGACAGCUUUCACUCCCCAGGGCUGAAACUCACCUUCGAUCUAUACACAAAUAUAUGUUAAUUACACACAUAUAUCAAAUAAAUAGCAUAAUAUAAAGAAGAGUUGAAACCCUGUAUUUAAGAAUGAGGCUACCGGUGUGGAUUUUCCUCUUUCUACGAGUAACGUACUGUAUGAGACGGUUCGUCAAAUAAACCUAUUCGUUCUUAAUAUUUUUAUUGGGUUAUUAGCACAAAACUUCAACUUCAUUGUCCAAAACAUCUCAACAUUUUAAUUUUUUUACAUUUUCACCCAUAUUUUAACCUUUUAUUACGAAAAUGAUAAUAUUCAUCAAUUUUCAUUCAAUUUCUCAAUAAAAGUCCCUCCUAUUUUAUAAGACAAAAAGAUAAUAAAAUAAAAGUAAAAAAUUAAUUACAAUUUAUAUACUCUCAAAUUCUUUUAAAAAAAUGCAAAUGAGUCCCCAAAUAAAUUAUUAAUAAAUUAAAAAUAGAAA
rnacentral:lncRNA from 1 species